rnacentral:rRNA from 1 species
GACGAACGCUGGCGGCGUGCCUAAUACAUGCAAGUCGAACGAAGCUGUUUUAACUGGUGCUUGCACCGACUUAAACAACUGAGUGGCGAACGGGUGAGUAACACGUGGGUAACCUGCCCCAAAGCGGGGGAUAACAUUUGGAAACAGAUGCUAAUACCGCAUAACCACAGAAACCACAUGGUUUCUGUGUCAAAGAUGGUUUCGGCUAUCACUUUGGGAUGGACCCGCGGCGUAUUAGCUAGUUGGUAAGGUAAUGGCUUACCAAGGCAAUGAUACGGAGCCGAACUGAGAGGAUGAUCCGCCACGCGGGGACUGGGACCCGGCCCAGAAUGGUACGGGAGGCAGCAGUGGGGAAUUUUGGACAAUGGGCGAAAGCCUGAUCCAGCCAUGCCGCGUGAGUGAAGAAGGCCUUCGGGUUGUAAAGCUCUUUUGUCCGGGAGGAAAUCCUGGCCUCUAAUACAGGUCGGGGAUGACAGUACUGGAAGAAUAAGCACCGGCUAACUACGUGCCAGCCGCCGCAGUAA